rnacentral:rRNA from 1 species
GAGUUUGAUCCUGGCUCAGAUUGAACGCUGGCGGCAGGCCUAACACAUGCAAGUCGAGCGGAUGAAGGGAGCUUGCUCCUGGAUUCAGCGGCGGACGGGUGAGUAAUGCCUAGGAAUCUGCCUGGUAGUGGGGAUAACGUCCGGAAACGGGCGCUAAUACCGCAUACGUCCUGAGGGAGAAAGUGGGGGAGUCUUCGGACCUCACGCUAUCAGAUGAGCCUAGGUCGGAUUAGCUAGUUGGUGGGGUAAAGGCCUACCAAGGCGACGAUCCGUAACUGGUCUGAGAGGAUGAUCAGUCACACUGGAACUGAGACACGGUCCAGACUCCUACGGGAGGCAGCAGUGGGGAAUAUUGGACAAUGGGCGAAAGCCUGAUCCAGCCAUGCCGCGUGUGUGAAGAGGGUCUUCGGAUUGUAAAGCACUUUAAGUUGGGAGGAAGGGCAGUAAGUUAAUACCUUGCUGUUUUGACGUUACCAACAGAAUAAGCACCGGCUAACUUCGUGCCAGCCGCCGCGGUAACACC